AUUGAACGCUGGCGGCAUGCUUUACACAUGCAAGUCGAACGGCAGCACGGGCUUCGGCCUGGUGGCGAGUGGCGAACGGGUGAGUAAUGCAUCGGAACGUACCGUGUAGUGGGGGAUAACGUAGCGAAAGUUACGCUAAUACCGCAUACGCCCCGAGGGGGAAAGGGGGGGACCGCAAGGCCUCACGCUAUAUGAGCGGCCGAUGUCGGAUUAGCUAGUUGGUAGGGUAAAGGCCUACCAAGGCGACGAUCCGUAGCGGGUCUGAGAGGAUGAUCCGCCACACUGGGACUGAGACACGGCCCAGACUCCUACGGGAGGCAGCAGUGGGGAAUUUUGGACAAUGGGCGCAAGCCUGAUCCAGCCAUGCCGCGUGAGUGAAGAAGGCCUUCGGGUUGUAAAGCUCUUUCAGACGGAAAGAAAUCUCUCAGGAUAAUACCUUGGGAGGAUGACGGUACCGUAAGAAGAAGCACCGGCUAACUACGUGCCAGCCGCCGCCGUAACAC
rnacentral:rRNA from 1 species